rnacentral:rRNA from 1 species
AGCCGCCGCGGUAUACGAAGGGCCCGAGCGUUGCGCGGAAUCACUGGGCUUAAAGCGUGCGCAGGCGGACUGGUAGGCGGCUUGUGAAAGCCCUCGGCUCAACCGAGGAAUUGCUCGCCGAACCAUCAGUCUUGAGGCAGGUAGGGGCCGUCGGAACGAUCGGUGGAGUGGUGAAAUGCGUUGAUAUCGAUCGGAACACCGAAGGAGAAAUCAGGCGGCUGGGCCUGUCCUGACGCUCAUGCACGAAAGCGUGGGUAGCGAACGGGAUUAGAUACCCCGGUAGUCCACGCCGUAAACGUUGUGCACUAGAUCGAGGGGGUUCUGACACUGCUCUCGGUCGAAGCGAAAGUGUUAAGUGCACCGCCUGGGGAGUACGGUCGCAAGGCUAAAACUCAAAGGAAUUGACGGGGGCUCACACAAGCGGUGGAGCAUGUGGCUUAAUUCGAAGCAACGCGAAGAACCUUAUCCUGGGUUGAACUACGGCGGAUUAGCUGCUGGAAACAGUAGUGACGCCUUCGGGUGGAACGUCGAUAGGUGCUGCAUGGCUGUCGUCAGCUCGUGCUGUGAAGUGUCGGGUUAAGUCCCUUAACGAGCGCAACCCUUAUCGCUAGUUGCCAGCGAGUCAUGUCGGGGACUCUAGCGAGACUGCCGGUGUCAAACCGGAGGAAGGUGGGGAUGACGUCAAGUCCGCAUGGCCUUUAUGCCCAGGGCUGCACACGUGCUACAAUGGUCGGUACAGAACGAAGCAAUACCGCAAGGUGGAGCAAAUCGCAAAAGCCGGCCCCAGUUCGGAUUGCAGGCUGCAACUCGCCUGCAUGAAGUUGGAAUCGCUAGUAAUCGUGGAUCAGCUACGCCACGGUGAAUCGUUCCUGAGCCUGCACACCCGC